AUCUACGACCAUACUACCCUGAACACACCCGAUCUUAUCUGAUCUCGGAAGCUAAGCAGGGUCCGGCUUGGUUAGUACUUGGAUGGGAGAUUAUAGAUGAACCUUGAAAGCAUGCUAAAUG
rnacentral:rRNA from 1 species